rnacentral:rRNA from 1 species
UACAGAGGGGGCGAGCGUUGUCCGGAAUCACUGGGCGUAAAGGGCGCGUAGGCGGCUGGAUAAGCCGCGUGUGAAAUCCCGGGGCUUAACCGAGGAACGGCACGCGAGACUGCUCGGCUAGAGAAUGGGAGAGGCAAGUGGAAUUCCCGGUGUAGCGGUGGAAUGCGUAGAGAUCAGGAAGAACACCAGUGGCGAAGGCGGCUUGCUGGGCCAGUACUGACGCUGAGGCGCGAAAGCGUGGGGAGCAAACGGG